rnacentral:rRNA from 1 species
CCUACGGGUGGCAGCAGUGAGGAAUAUUGGUCAAUGGCCGAGAGGCUGAACCAGCCAAGUCGCGUGAGGGAAGACGGCCCUACGGGUUGUAAACCUCUUUUGUCGGGGAGCAAAGCGAGUCACGUGUGACUCAUUGAGAGUACCCGAAGAAAAAGCAUCGGCUAACUCCGUGCCAGCAGCCGCGGUAAUACGGAGGAUGCGAGCGUUAUCCGGAUUUAUUGGGUUUAAAGGGAGCGUAGGUGGAUUGUUAAGUCAGUUGUGAAAGUUUGCGGCUCAACCGUAAAAUUGCAGUUGAAACUGGCAGUCUUGAGUACAGUAGAGGCAUGCGGAAUGCGCGGUGUAGCGGUGAAAUGCAUAGAUAUCGCGCAGAACCCCGAUUGCGAAGGCAGCGUGCCGUGCCGCCACUGACGCUGAGGCACGAAAGCGCGGGGAUCGAACAGGAUUAGAUACCCCAGUAGUC